AACAAUUCUUCCCUCUGACUAGUUGGAACACAAAUAUCUGCCAUUUGCAGGUGAGCUCUAAGAAUUUUUCAACUUACAGCUCCCUAGUAGUUCUGAGACUGACCUCAUGUUCCAGCCUAUAAAUGCAUAGUUUAGUAAUCAGUCACAGACUCAGGUCACCUCUAUGCAAACUCGAAUGCUCCUUUUCUAGUCACUUUCAUUGGGUCCCAUCCCUGUCUUAUGGUCGGGAAAAUUCCUUUAGGCAGAAAGAUGAUGCAAUCAUAAAGCUCACUUUGUUUAUUUCUCUUCUCUCAAAGAUCACAGUCCUGUACUGCCUACUGUCCAAUUUGUAAAAAUGAUUGCUUCAUAUAUUUUCGUCCUGUUCUCUAGUUGUUUAUAGCAGUAAGGCAAAACUGGAACUGAUUACUUUUUCAUGGUAGAAGCUGAAGUCUUUGAAUUUUCUAUUUUUGUCACCUGUACUGUAACAGAGUGGUAUAAAUCCCACCUCUACUACUGCCUAACUAGAUGGAUUUAAAUUUAUUGAAUUUCCUUUUCCUUAUCUGUAAAAUGGGCAUAAAAAUAUAUACCACUAGAUUGUUCAGUUCACUAAUUAGUUAAAUAUGGUAUAAACACAUCUAGAAGGAGUAUCUAAAGGUUGAUUCUCCUCCUUCUUUCAAGAGAAAAGACUAUAAAAUAAGACAAUUUCAUUAAAUACCCAAAAUAUUAAAAGCAAAAUUUUGUGAUAUCUAUAAUAAAAACGGUUUCUGUGGGCUCCCAUCCAUGUCUUCAAAACACAUGCUAAGUACUAAUUAAACCUAUAUCCUAAAUUCAUGCCUCUUUUCGACCUCUGUAUUCAACCAGUUGCUUCCGUCUGUUCAUAAGCUCCCAUCUCUCCUGUUAUCAAUUUUCCCCGUUGUGGACUUCACCACUUGCUAUCUGCACACAUCAUCAUCAACACCACAUUUUCCUAACCUUAGUUAUUAACCUUUCUGUCUGAUUAUCUGAUCUAAGUAUAGAACCCCAUGAAACAUUCCUAGUUUGAUCAUUUUUCCUGUCAGAGGCAUUCAAACCAGAGCUACUCCAAAUCACAACUGAAUAGGGGCUGGGUAAAAUGAGGCUGAGACCUGCUGGGCUGCAUUCCCAGGAGGUUAGGCAUUCAUAGUCACAAGAUGAGAUAGGAGGUCACAAGAUACAGGUCACAAAGGCCCUGCUGAUAAACAUGGUACAAUAAAGAAGCCAGCCAAAACCAAUAUGGCAACAAAAGUGACCUCAUUAUAUGCUAAUUAUAAUGCAUUAACAUAGUAAAAGAGACUUUCACCAGCAUCAGCACAGUUUGCAAAUGCCAUGGCAAUGUCUGGAAGUUACCCUAUAUAGUCUAAAACGGGGAAGAAUUCUCAGUUCCAGGAACUCCCCAUCCCUGUCCCAGAAAACUCAUGAAUAAUUCACCCCUUGUUUAGCAUAUAGCCAAGAAAUAACCAUAAGUAUACUCAAUCAAGCAGCCCACGCUGCUGCUCUGCCUAUGGAGUAGGCAUCUUUCACUUGCUUAAUAAACUUCCUUUCACUUUGUUCCGUGGACUUGGGGAAAGAAUCCCCAAAUUCUUUCUUGUGUGAGAUCCAAGAACCCUCUCUUUGGGUCUGAAUUGGGACCACUUUCUGGCAACAUUCUUACCUUCCUCUCUUUGGGUCUGAAUUGGGACCACUUUCUGGCAACAUUCUUACCUUGAAAUUCACC
rnacentral:lncRNA from 1 species